rnacentral:lncRNA from 1 species
UAGGAACAGAUAUGGUAAUGUGUAGGUCGGGGCUAGGGCCACAGAUAAUGGUCUAUAGUGGUUGAUGCAGGCCAAGGGCUAGGGCACAGCUAUGGUAAUGUAUGGAGGCUAGGGGUCAUGGGCACAGUAUGGUAUGGGUGGAGGCGAAGGGCUAGGGCACAAUAUGGUAAGUGGUGUGGAGGCCUAUGGCCGUAGGGCCAAGAUAUGGAAAUGUAUGUAGGGGCAAGGUACAGAUUUGUAACUGUGUGUGGAGGCUACAGGCUAGGGCACAGAUAUGGUAAUGUAUGGAGGCUAGGGUCUAGGGCACAGAUAUGGUAAUGUGUGGAGGCUAGGGGUUAGGGUACAGAUAUGGUAAUGUGUGGAGGCUAGGGGUUAGGGUACAGAUAUGGUAAUGUGUGGAGGCUAGGGGUUAGGCCACAGAUAUGGCAAGUCCCAGAGAUGGGGUAUUGUUAUGUU